rnacentral:misc_RNA from 1 species
GAUGAAGAACGCAGCGAAAUGCGAUAAGUAAUGUGAAUUGCAGAAUUCAGUGAAUCAUCGAAUCUUUGAACGCACAUUGCGCCCGCCAGUAUUCUGGCGGGCAUGCCUGUUCGAGCGUCAUUUCAACCAUCAAGCCCCCGGGCUUGCGUUGGGGCCCUGCGGCUGCCGCAGACCCCUAAAACCAGUGGCGGGCUCGCUGUCACACCGAGCGCAGUAGCAAUAUCUCGCUCUGGGCGUGGCGCGGGUGCUUGCCGUAAAACACACCACUUAACAAGGUUGACCUCGGAUCAGGUAGGAAUACCCGCUGAACUUAAGCAUAUCAAUAAGCGGAGGA